rnacentral:lncRNA from 1 species
UUCCCCUCGAAGGUUAGUAUGUACAAGGACACAUCAUCACCAAAAAUCCAUCAAGAAAACAGCUGGCAAAUGGAUCUAAAAGACCAAAUAAAGCCACAAAACCUAGUUUCAAUCUCGGCCAUUAUUCUUAUGGUUGUAGCUCAUUGGUUUCAUUUAAAAGGCUGAGAAAUGAGUUUUUAGGGUCAGGAGGGAGAGUUUAGCAAAGUCGGCCAAGGAGAAAGACAACAAAAAAAAAAAAACGAGAAGAAAAAUAAUUAUCUGAAAAAGAAAAAAACUACACACAGGGCUGAUGAAUCAGCCCUGUUUCUCACCAAAAUCCGACUUCGAUCAUAACCUUCUAAGUGAGAUCUUUGUUUCUACAUCAUCUAUGAUCAUAGAGGAGCAACUUUCAUUUUAAAAAAAUUCCUGAAAAAGGUCCCUAAGUCCCUCGAAUUAAGGCCUGAAGUUGCGGCUUCGUCAAUACUUGAAUUUCUGCGACAGAAUCUUGUUUGCUUCAUUUCAAGAGCUGGUGUGCAUUUUUUGGAGAUUUCCCAUGUUUGUUUGAAUCCACAAGCAUCCGAAGGUAACUAUAGCUCUUUCUCUUGGUUGAUUUAAUGCCUUGCAAUUGUUUCUCAAUUUGAUUUCUCAAUUACAAUUGUUUCUCUUUUUUAAUUGUUAAUUGUGUUUCAUUUAAAUAUAUUUAAUCUGUAAAUUCUAGAUGUCUUAUGUUUAUUUAUAUUUUUGCAAUAAUAAGAGGAAUUUAGUAUAUGUUUUCAUUCUCUUUUAAAAAUUGUCAAUUAAAUUGGUGCAUUGACCCGUUUGUUGAUUUUGGAAAAAUAGACAACUUUCUCUUCCCCUCAUUUAGCCGCUAUUUCAAAAGGGAGGUAUAUCUAUUAUCCUUUAAAUUUUUU